UGUGGGAUCGUCUGAGACCAGCCACCUGGACAACUGAUGAAACUGAGGAGUGUUUCUGUUGUGGGAUCUCGGGAGUCCUCACAUCAAGCUACAAGUUGUGUUCACAUUUUACAGAGGUGGCCAGCCAGGUGACACUGCAGUGGGUGGAACGUUCACACAGCUGGGUCCAGCUGACCAGGCAAGGCUGAGCGGUGGAAGCGCAUGGUGUGCUGACUAGGAGGAGAACCUUGGAAAUACAGACUCCUCUAAGCUGAGGGGAUCCACUGGCUAAUGCCCCUUGCUCUCAGCCACUCUAGUUUGAUGUGUUGGGCUUACACUUAAAUGCAUGGGGCUUAGGAUUUCUUGGUUCCUCUACACGGUGCACCUGAUAUCCCUUUAGUUUGAUUGACGUCACAAUUUGGAUUUGUCUUAUUAUUUGUUCAUGUUUAUGUUGAUCAUUCACGAUAAACAAACAUAUAAGUAAUAAAAUCCACC